rnacentral:rRNA from 1 species
GACGAACGCUGGCGGCGUGCUUAACACAUGCAAGUCGAACGGAAAGGCCCUGCUUUUGUGGGGUGCUCGAGUGGCGAACGGGUGAGUAGCACGUGAGUAACCUGCCCUUGACUUUGGGAUAACUUCAGGAAACUGGGGCUAAUACCGGAUAGGAGCUCCUGCUGCAUGGUGGGGGUUGGAAAGUUUCGGCGGUUGGGGAUGGACUCGCGGCUUAUCAGCUUGUUGGUGGGGUAGUGGCUUACCAAGGCUUUGACGGGUAGCCGGCCUGAGAGGGUGACCGGCCACAUUGGGACUGAGAUACGGCCCAGACUCCUACGGGAGGCAGCAGUGGGGAAUAUUGCACAAUGGGCGGAAGCCUGAUGCAGCAACGCCGCGUGCGGGAUGACGGCCUUCGGGUGGUAAACCGCUUUCGCCUGUGACGAAGCGUGAGUGACGGUAAUGGGUAAAGAAACACCGGCUAACUACGU